rnacentral:lncRNA from 1 species
CUUUUGAUAAAUAAAUUAUGUUUCGUUCUUUUAAAAUUCACAACUUAUUGAUUGAUUCUUGGCGAAUGGUGAUGUUCACUUUAAACAAAUCCAAGUUUUGUCCCAAAAUCUAAGAUGUGUUUUGUGGGGGGUUUAAUUUUCAAUACAAAUAGUUUUCCAAAGUAUGAGGUAAGCCAUUGUGAUAAUGGAGUUGAUGCUUGCUGGUUGUCCUCAUAAGUUGGUGGCUUUCAUGUGCUGUGGAAGGUAAGCCAUAGUUUAUAUUUCUAGUUUAUUAUCUUUGCUUUUAGGGUUAGUUUUAAAGUGAUAAGUGGUCAGUAUAGUCUUCGAAUGGAGAAAUUUGCAGUCUAAAUAAUGUGAUCAAUUACCAACGGGAAACAGUUGCCCUUAGAAAGGAGUAAGGUUACUGAAGUCUGGAUUCCUUGGGAUUUUAAAACUGGUUUCUAUGUUGUUUCUCUCUUCAUUUCUUUUAGGGAUGACCAAAAUUCUGAUACAUUCAUAGCUUGAGAUGACUGAGAUUGGCUCUCAUGUCCAUAAGGUUCUAAUAUAACACGUGAUAUUGGUAUGCUGUGUGGUACAAAGUGCAAUUGAUACUUCAAGGAAAAUGCGAGGUUGAUGUCUAGAUCUCAUAAGCUGGAUUAAUACGUGGCCUGUUAACUGCCCCGAGUUUUGCAGCUUAAAGUUGGUUGGUUUCAUAAUUGUUAGAUUUUGCAAUUCACGUUGUGCAUGUUGAUGUUAAGUUUCUGGAGGAGUACGGGUUCCAACAGAGACCUAAGAAAAUAGUGAGAACUGAGAAAACAUGUAUGCUCCGGAAGCUUUGUCAACAUGGAGACUGAGAGUUGUGUUAGGUAUAUUGGUUACCUACAUGAAAAAUCCUUUGGAUAAGCACAAACAUCAGGCACACUCACAGUUGAAGUUUGUGGAUACAAGAUUACAAUAUGUACUCUGCUGAAACUCUUGUUUGAGUUUAUCUAACUGCGAGUUGUUAGCUGUGUUUAUGCAAAAAUUUAUCAUUCUUUGGCUCGUGGGCAUGUUUGAAAUCCCAAAUGGGACAAUGUCCAUGUAAAGGAGAAGGAAAGAGUUUAUGAAGUGUAACUGUGAUUUUCUUUUAUUCUUUGUUAUUCGAAUUUUUUUGCCAUGGGAGAAUAAUUGUCCCAUCCCCAUUUUCCGGGCACCAUUCUUCAUCUCUAUAUUAAUAAUUUAUAUGGAAAUUCUAAUGAAAAAUAAAAAGAA